rnacentral:rRNA from 1 species
CAGCAGCUGCGGGAAUACGGAGGGAGCUAGCGUUAUUCGGAAUUACUGGGCGUAAAGCGCACGUAGGCGGCUUUGUAAGUAAGAGGUGAAAGCCCGGAGCUCAACUCCGGAACUGCCUUUUAGACUGCAUCGCUUGAAUCCAGGAGAGGUGAGUGGAAUUCCGAGUGUAGAGGUGAAAUUCGUAGAUAUUCGGAAGAACACCAGUGGCUAAGGCGGCUCACUGGACGCGUAUUGACGCUGAGGUACGAAAGCGUGGGGAGCAAACAGGAUUAGAUACCCGCGUAGUCCCUGUCUCUUAUAC